rnacentral:rRNA from 1 species
GUCUGUGGCCAUACCACUCUGAACAUGCCUGAUCUUGUCUGAUCUCGGAAGCUAAGCAGGGUUGGGCCUGGUUAGUACUUGGAUGGGAGACCACCUAGGAAUACCAAGUGCUGUUGGCA